UAUCAUUAACUGAAGCUUUAUAUGUAAUUUAAUUGUUAUUAUCUUUUUAGACGUAUGUAAAUUAUAAUUAAAAGGGCUGUCAAACAGACUCUUGCACCAUCGAUGAAUUUUGACAAAUGCCGCUAAGCUGACAUUCUAAUUUUAUUCUUUCGCGCUCAAUGUACAACAUUGUAUUUAUAUUCAGUAGAACUAGACUCAAAUUUUGAUGCAUUAUAUUUUCUCUAUAAAAAAAUGUGUUCUAUGUAUUGUUUAUGUAAUAUAUAUAUAUUUGAAUAUAUAACUUUUAAUAAUUUAUAAAAAAUAAUUUGCCUCGCUAGCUAAGCUGAAAGUCGUCUCUGAACGAAUUAAUAAAUAAAAGUAUUGUCUAAAAAUGGCCAUGUUCGUCACUUCUACGAGAACAUGAUUUUAAGCGCGAGUAAAAUUUAUUAGCUAUUUUACAGCAAGGUUUGAAGGGAUUUGAUCGAUAACCAUGAACACCCGACGACCUUGUAGAUUCGGUGCGAUAGAUUGAUGGAUGAACCAAUAGAAACGGUACCGUAUACCUUCCAUUGACGCCAGACUCUCGUGUCUACAGGAAGGUACCUGGCAACGUGCCGGAAAUUUCUCGAAAGUAGGUGUUACCGUUUAUGCGAUCAGGAAAAACAAGGUAAUCAUAUACGAGAUUAAAUCCUUGACCUAAAGUAAUAUUUUCUUAUUUUUCAAGGAAAUAUUUUCUUAUUUUUUCGAGGAGAUAUUUUCUUAUUUUUCCGAGGAAAUAUUUUCUCAUUUUUUAUUCCUUUUACAUAUUAACAUAUUACAUACUUCUACAUGUUCAAUAAUAGCAUAGGAAAGAUGUAUUUUUAUGUUUCUUUGUGUGUCAGUUUUCAUUUUAGUUCCCAAUUCAUAAUUAUGUUUUAUAAAUACUUAAGUGCGUGUUUAAUUUAAGUUACGUCUUACUUAUUUAAUUUGUAAUUUUUUAAUUAUCGUGUAAUGAUUUACGUUCACUUAUUGACGUAUUUAAUAUUAGAAAAAGAUUGCUCGGUUAAAUUUUUUUUUUAACUAUUCAUUUGCAGUAUGUAGCUUGGAAUAUCUUCAUUAAAAGCUACCGUACAAAAAUUUUUCAUUGACAAGAUACAUUUUCAUGUCGAACCAAAGCAAUGAAAUUCACAUGUGAGAACUAUUUUAGGCUAUUAUCAUAAUAAUUAAUACAAAUUUAGUAGCAGUUCCUGCAACUUUCUUAAUUUCCGCAAAAUUGUUUUCAUACGAACUUCGUUACAAUAAUUAUAAUUUUUCGUAACGCUGCGCUGGCGGAAUACGAAAAGCGCUUCUAAAAGUCAAACAGACUAUCUAACUCUCAUGCCGACUGGAAUUAAUAUUUAACGAGUUCUGGCGCCGCUGUCGUGUUUGUCAUACUUUCUACACAGCUUCAUUUACUGGAAUAUUUGCGUUAAUAAGCUCUGCAACUGUUUUUUUUUUUUUUCGUUCCUUCUUAUGACGACCGUACGUGUCAAAUUUUUAGCUUCAUACGAGUAAUCUCGUAUAAUUUUCGUUGAUAUAAAAUUGUGUCUUAUAUCAGGGAUUUUAAUUUUAUUAUAUGACAUAAUAAUGACACAGAAUUUGAGAUGUAGUGAUUAAUUUUAACGCAUUUUUUUAUACAAAUGUUACGUAUAAUUAUGUGUUUACAAUUUAUAGCAUAUAAUUUUAAAAUUUUGCCAAUUCAAUUUUAUAAUUUACUAUCUUAAUUUCAAUUCAACCUUAGAAUCUAAAUAGAGUAAUCUUGUUCACCGAUUAAAAAAUAUAACGGUUACUCUAUUUUAUUUAUGUUAUAUAUUCUUUUUUAUUCGACGUGCAUUCUAUGCAUUUUUACACCUUUCAAUUUUGCAUAAAUGCAUGAAAGUCCUACUCGUCAAUUUCAUCUUUGCACACAAAUUGUUCAUAUUGAUCACGUAGGGCUGUCUUUCUCAUACUUCAUCCUGUCAUAAAACUAUUCUACCUUCAUUAUUAUAUUAUUAUGCUACACUUGAUUAAGUUUUAGUACGUUUCAAAGAAUAUUAAUUGAAUUUCUGCCUGGAGAUAGAUAGAUAGAUAGAGAGCGCGAGAAAGAGAGGACGGUCCUGAAAGCGAUCCUGUACGAUAAUGGAAAGUGUUGAUAUGCCAAUCAGGUCACAAGCCAUCCUUUCGGCUUCGAACGAGUCGAUAACAGCCAGGGUGCCCCUGCACCGAUACACCGAUGCUUCUCUACUUUACUCGAUCUCCGUGUAAUUAAUGUCGUCGCUUGUCGAGGCUAAUGAUGUUGAACACGUGUCUGACGAGAGUGAAUGUCGAUCGAUUCGUUACGCGUCUCUCAAUACAUAAUAAGCACACCCCGGCACGAAGAUUGUUGUGUUGCGUUCGUUUAGACUGCAAUUAUGAUCUAUGAACGUGCCCGGAUAAUUUUAUUCUAAUUAUUUGCUUGACGAUAGGGUACCUCUGUUAUUGAAACGUUUUCAAAUUUCCACGAUAAUAAUUAAUUUAAUCUUUGACUUUUAAGGGAACAAGGCCUCGUUAUUUUUCGCAUUAUCCGAUCAGCAGUGAAUUUAUUAGCAGAUUUUGGAGUAUGAUUUUUCUGUCCAAUGGUAUGUUCAAGACUACUAUUCGUAUCGUACAUUAAUUUUUUACUGAAUGUAUAUUUGCAACGAGUAUCUUGUAGCUUCUAUAUAGAUUUUCAAAUUGGUUUCAAGUUUGAUUAUUAUAAUCACGAUAAGUAUGUCUUAUUACAGUGCUAAAAUUUCUAAAAGCUUCGUACGAUACACACAACAUAUUCAUAGAAAUUUUCCGUGAUAAGUGUGUUCGAAUAUUUUUCUCAGUCGCUGUAUAUAUUUUUCCUAAAUAUAGCUGAUAUAACCGAGGCUAUAUUUUUCUCAUUUGACUCGGUCACUCUUUUUCAAAACAUCUACUCAAUAAGUACCUAUACACGCGACAACAACGCGUUAGCACAAAUGUACACUAUUACACACAUAAUCAUUGAUGCACCCAGUGCUGGCCUAUCACGUACUCGACUAAUGUCCUUUGGCGUGACCCAGAGUUACGUACGUCGAAGCUAAUGAAGGCACGUUCAGGCGUUUGUGGCUUGUGCAUCGGCGACCUUAUAUACGUUGCAGGCUCGUCGUGGCCACGUUUAAUUCGUCCAAUCACGUUAGCCACACGAGAAGCGACUAAAUUGUCGUGCAGGUUGAAUCAUCGUUCGAACUGUAUUGUAGUUGCCCUUCGUCAUCGGCAUUCAUCGGCCGUGAAUGUGUCACUCAGCGUGAAACCGCAGUGAUCAACUUUUAUUAGAAUUAAUCUGGUUAAUUCUUUUUGCUGACUUCAUUAGCUUCAAAGUCAUUCGAAGCAGUCGCUGAACAAAGGCGGGGACGGAAAUGCCCAGUCGUAAGGUCGAUUAUACUCGACCCUACACUUCCAAAGGAGAAGACAACGUUGAUGCGGCAACGAUAGCAAUGUGGAAAUCUAAUUGAAGUGGGCGUAGACCGUAAUAGCUCGGCUAUACGAGGGACAGCCACGCGAGCUCCUCGUUUAAGACGCAUCGUCCGCCUGCUAACAUUCCUAAGAAGAUUUGAAUCGGGGGCAAUUCUGCGACAAUGUAGAAUCCAUUCGCCAUACACAUUCUGCCAUUCUUCCUCGCGGAAAUAUACAACGUUGAUAAGGAUAACUGCUUUCCUCGUCGAUGUCUGAUGAGACUGCUCUCUUGAGAUCAAGAAAUCGAAUCGGUGCGAGGAAGACGGCCGGUGUGCGGAUUUAAUAAAGGAGACAUGGCUGCAGACGAAAUCGGCACGAACGACGGAUAGCGAACGGAAAAAGCGGAAGUCGUAAAUUGUCCCGGAAAAGGAUCGUGCCGUAAAACUCGACGGAGGAGGAUUUUAUCGAUUCAAUAUCUCUCUUUUCUACGAUUGGACUAGCAAGCCAGCACGCUGCAAACGCCGUUACAAAGGCAGACGCGAUUUCGCAAAGGAUAUUCGGUAUGUGCUGCCUAUGCCUUUAC